rnacentral:rRNA from 1 species
UAAGCNCCNGCUAACUACGUGCCAGCAGCCGCGGUAAUACGUAGGGUGCAAGCGUUAAUNGGAAUUACUGGGCGUAAAGCGUGCGCAGGCGGUUUGGAAAGAAAGAUGUGAAAUCCCAGAGCUUAACUUUGGAACUGCAUUUUUAACUGCCAAGCUAGAGUAUGUCAGAGGGGGGUAGAAUUCCACGUGUAGCAGUGAAAUGCGUAGAGAUGUGGAGGAAUACCGAUGGCGAAGGCAGCCCCCUGGGAUAAUACUGACGCUCAUGCACGAAAGCGUGGGGCGCAAACAGGAUUGGAUACCCUGGUAGUCCACGCCCUAAACGAUGUCAACUAGCUGUUGGGGCCUUCGGGCCUUAGUAGCGCAGCUAACGCGUGAAGUUGACCGCCUGGGGAGUACGGUCGCAAGAUUAAAACUCAAAGGAAUUGACGGGGACCCGCACAAGCGGUGGAUGAUGUGGAUUAAUUCGAUGCAACGCGAAAAACCUUACCUACCCUUGACAUGUCUGGAAUCCUUAAGAGAUUAGGGAGUGCUCGCAAGAGAACCGGAACACAGGUGCUGCAUGGCUGUCGUCAGCUCGUGUCGUGAGAUGUUGGGUUAAGUCCCGCAACGAGCGCAACCCUUGUCAUUAGUUGCUACGAAAGGGCACUCUAAUGAGACUGCCGGUGACAAACCGGAGGAAGGUGGGGAUGACGUCAAGUCCUCAUGGCCCUUAUGGGUAGGGCUUCACACGUCAUACAAUGGUCGGGACAGAGGGUCGCCAACCCGCAAGGGGGAGCCAAUCCCAGAAACCCGAUCGUAGUCCGGAUCGCAGUCUGCAACUCGACUGCGUGAAGUCGGAAUCGCUAGUAAUCGCGGAUCAGAAUGUCGCGGUGAAUACGUUCC